rnacentral:rRNA from 1 species
GAUGAACGCUAGCGGCAGGCCUAAUACAUGCAAGUCGAGGGGCAGCAGGAGUAGCAAUAUUCGCUGGCGACCGGCGCACGGGUGCGUAACACGUAUACAAUCUGCCUUUAACAGGGGGAUAGCCCGGAGAAAUCCGGAUUAAUACCCCAUAACAAUUUGACUGGCAUCAGUUGAAUUUAAAAGCUCCGGCGGUUAGAGAUGAGUAUGCGUCUGAUUAGUUAGUUGGGAGGUAACGGCUCACCAAGACCACGAUCAGUAGGGGAUCUGAGAGGAUUAACCCCCACACGGAUACUGAGACACGGAUCCGACUCCUACGGGAGGCAGCAGUAAGGAAUAUUGGACAAUGCCCGCAAGGGUNAUCCAGCCAUGCCGCGUGCA